AUACCUAAUGGCAGGGCAGACACUAUGAUUAAAAGUUGGUUUUUUUCCAGCGCAGUGGAUAUCCAUUGCCCUCCAGAUGUGAUGACUCUGUAAUUUUCCAAAAUGUGGGAAAAUGACAGCAUAAAUUGUGGUAGGGGGAGACUGUGAUCACAUUCUCCCC
ensembl:snRNA Gm23509 predicted gene, 23509